GAUGAAGAACGUAGCGAAAUGCGAUAGGUAAUGUGAAUUGCAGAAUUCAGUGAAUCAUCGAAUCUUUGAACGCACAUUGCGCCCCUUGGUAUUCCAUGGGGCAUGCCUGUUCGAGCGUCAUUUGUACCUUCAAGCUUUGCUUGGUGUUGGGUGUUUGUCUCGCCUUUGCGUGUAGACUCGCCUUAAAAUAAUUGGCAGCCGGCGUAUUGAUAUCGGAGCGCAGUACAUCUCGCGCUUUGCACUCAUAACGACAGCGUCCAAAAGUACAUUUUACACUCUUGACCUCGGAUCAGGUAGGGAUACCCGCUGAACUUAAGCAUAUCAAUAAGCGGAGGA
rnacentral:misc_RNA from 1 species